GCGCCCGUAGCUCAAUUGGAUAGAGUGUCUGGCUACGGACCAGAAGGUUAGAGGUUCGAUUCCUCUCGGGCGCG
rnacentral:tRNA from 1 species